GCCUGCGUGGCUCAAUCGGCUUAGAGCGUGAGACUCUUAAUCUCAAGGUUGCGAGUUCGAGUCUCGCCGUGGGCU